AAAAUAAAGUAAAAGGAACUCAGCAAACUCAACCCCACCUGUUUACCAAAAACAUCACCUCUAGCAUUACCAGUAUUAGAGGCACUGUGACACAUGUUUAACGGCCGCGGUACCCUGACCGUGCAAAGGUAGCAUAAUCACUUGUUCCUUAAAUGGGGACUCGCAUGAAUGGCACCACGAGGGUUCAACUGUCUCUUACUUUCA
rnacentral:ncRNA from 1 species